rnacentral:rRNA from 1 species
CCUACGGAGGGCAGCAGUGGGGAAUAUUGGGCAAUGGGCGCAAGCCUGACCCAGCAACGCCGCGUGAAUGAAGAAGGCUUUCGGGUUGUAAACUUCUUUUCUGAGGGACGAAGAAAGUGACGGUACCUAAGGCAUAAGCCACGGCUAACUACGUGCCAGCCGCCGCGGUAAUACGUAGGUGGCAAGCGUUAUCCGGAGUUAUUGGGUGUAAAGGGCGGGUAGGCGGGGAAGCAAGUCAGAUGUGAAAACUCAGGGCUCAACCCUGAGCCUGCAUGUGAAACUGUUUUUCUGGAGUGCUGGAGAGGCGAGUGGAAGUCCGGGUGUAGCGGUGAAAUGCGUAGAUAUACGGAGGAAGACCAGUGGCGAAGGCGGAUGGCUGGACAGUAACUGACGCUGAGGCGCGAAAGCGUGGGGAGCAAACAGGAUUAGAUACCCCUGUAGUC